AUUGAACGCUGGCGGCAUGCCUUACACAUGCAAGUCGAACGGCAGCAUGGAGAGCUUGCUCUCUGAUGGCGAGUGGCGAACGGGUGAGUAAUGCAUCGGAACGUACCGUGUAAUGGGGGAUAACGUAGCGAAAGUUACGCUAAUACCGCAUACGACCUGAGGGUGAAAGCAGGGGAUCGCAAGACCUUGCGUUAUACGAGCGGCCGAUGUCAGAUUAGCUAGUUGGUGAGGUAAAGGCUCACCAAGGCGACGAUCUGUAGCGGGUCUGAGAGGAGGAUCCGCAACAACGGGACUGGGACACGGGCCAGACUCCUACGGGAGGCAGCAGUGGGGAAUUUUGGACAAUGGGGGCAACCCUGAUCCAGCCAUGCCGCGUGAGUGAAGAAGGCCUUCGGGUUGUAAAGCUCUUUCGGCCGGGAAGAAAUCGCACAGGCUAAUACUCUGUGUGGAUGACGGUACCGGCAUAAGAAGCACCGGCUAACUACGUGCCAGCAGCCGCCGUAA
rnacentral:rRNA from 1 species